rnacentral:rRNA from 1 species
UGCCUAUGAAUCUGCCUGGUAGUGGGGGAUAACGUUCGGAAACGGACGCUAAUACCGCAUACGUCCUACGGGAGAAAGCAGGGGACCUUCGGGCCUUGCGCUAUCAGAUGAGCCUAGGUCGGAUUAGCUAGUUGGUGAGGUAAUGGCUCACCAAGGCUACGAUCCGUAACUGGUCUGAGAGGAUGAUCAGUCACACUGGAACUGAGACACGGUCCAGACUCCUACGGGAGGCAGCAGUGGGGAAUAUUGGACAAUGGGCGAAAGCCUGAUCCAGCCAUGCCGCGUGUGUGAAGAAGGUCUUCGGAUUGUAAAGCACUUUAAGUUGGGAGGAAGGGCAGUUACCUAAUACGUGAUUGUUUUGACGUUACCGACAGAAUAAGCACCGGCUAACUCUGUGCCGCAGCCGCGGUAUACAGAGGGUGCAGCGUUAUCGGAAUUACUGGGCGUAAAGCGCGCGUAGGUGGUUUGUUAGUUGAAUGUGAAAUCCCCGGGCUCACCUGGGAACUGCAUCCAAACUGGCGGCUAGAUAUGGUAGAGGGUGGUGGA